rnacentral:rRNA from 1 species
GGAUAGUCGGGGGCAUCAGUAUUCAAUUGUCAGAGGUGAAAUUCUUGGAUUUAUUGAAGACUAACUACUGCGAAAGCAUUUGCCAAGGAUGUUUUCAUUAAUCAGUGAACGAAAGUUAGGGGAUCGAAGACGAUCAGAUACCGUCGUAGUCUUAACCAUAAACUAUGCCGACUAGGGAUCGGGCGGUGUUCAACUUAUGACCCGCUCGGCACCUUACGAGAAAUCAAAGUUUUUGGGUUCUGGGGGGAGUAUGGUCGCAAGGCUGAAACUUAAAGGAAUUGACGGAAGGGCACCACCAGAUGUGGAGCCUGCGGCUUAAUUUGACUCAACACGGGGAAACUCACCAGGUCCAGACACAUUAAGGAUUGACAGAUUGAGAGCUCUUUCUUGAUUAUGUGGGUGGUGGUGCAUGGCCGCUCUUAGUUGGUGGAGUGAUUUGUCUGCUUAAUUGCGAUAACGAACGAGACCUUAACCUGCUAAAUAGCCUGGCUAGCUUUUGCUGGUCACCGGCUUCUUAGAGGGACUAUCGGCUCAAGCCGAUGGAAGUUUGAGGCAAUAACAGGUCUGUGAUGCCCUUAGAUGUUCUGGGCCGCACGCGCGCUACACUGACAGAGCCAACGAGUAUAACCCUUAGCCGAGAGGUUUAGGUAAUCUUGUUAAACUCUGUCGUGCUGGGGAUAGGGCAUUGCAAUUAUUGCCCUUCAACGAGGAAUAUCUAGUAAGCGCAAGUCAUCAGCUUGCGUUGAUUACGUCCCUGCCCUUUGUACACACCGCCCGUCGCUACAC